rnacentral:rRNA from 1 species
GUGAGGAAUAUUGGUCAAUGGGCGAGAGCCUGAACCAGCCAAGUCGCGUGAAGGAAGAAGGAUCUAUGGUUCGUAAACUUCUUUUGCAGGGGAAUAAAGUGCAGGACGUGUCCUGUUUUGUAUGUACCCUGAGAAUAAGGAUCGGCUAACUCCGUGCCAGCAGCCGCGGUAAUACGGAGGAUCCGAGCGUUAUCCGGAUUUAUUGGGUUUAAAGGGUGCGUAGGUGGUUUGAUAAGUCAGCGGUGAAAGUUUGCAGCUUAACUGUAAAAAUGCCGUUGAAACUGUCGGACUUGAGUGUAAAUGAGGUAGGCGGAAUGCGUGGUGUAGCGGUGAAAUGCAUAGAUAUCACGCAGAACUCCGAUAGCGAAGGCAGCUUACUAAGUUAUAACAGACACUGAAGCACGAAAGCGUGGGUAUCAAACAGGAUUAGAUACCCUGGUAGUCC